rnacentral:rRNA from 1 species
AGAGUUUGAUCCUGGCUCAGGACGAACGCUGGCGGCGUGCCUAACACAUGCAAGUCGAACGGAACUGUUUUGAAAGAUUUCUUCGGAAUGAAUUUGAUUUAGUUUAGUGGCGGACGGGUGAGUAACGCGUGAGUAACCUGCCUUCAAGAGGGGGAUAACAUUCUGAAAAGAAUGCUAAUACCGCAUGACAUAUCGGAACCACAUGGUUUUGAUAUCAAAGAUUUUAUCGCUUGAAGAUGGACUCGCGUCCGAUUAGUUAGUUGGUGAGGUAACGGCUCACCAAGACUGCGAUCGGUAGCCGGACUGAGAGGUUGAACGGCCACAUUGGGACUGAGACACGGCCCAGACUCCUACGGGAGGCAGCAGUGGGGGAUAUUGCGCAAUGGGGGCAACCCUGACGCAGCAACGCCGCGUGAAGGAUGAAGGUUUUCGGAUUGUAAACUUCUUUUAUUAAGGACGAAACUUGACGGUACUUAAUGAAUAAGCUCCGGCUAACUACGUGCCAGCAGCCGCGGUAAUACGUAGGGAGCAAGCGUUGUCCGGAUUUACUGGGUGUAAAGGGUGCGUAGGCGGCUUUGCAAGUCAGAUGUGAAAUCUAUGGGCUCAACCCAUAAACUGCAUUUGAAACUGUAUCUCUUGAGUGUCGGAGAGGCAAGCGGAAUUCCCCGUGUAGCGGUGAAAUGCGUAGAGAUCGGGAGGAACACCAGUGGCGAAGGCGGCCUGCUGGGCUUUAACUGACGCUGAGGCACGAAAGCGUGGGUAGCAAACAGGAUUAGAUACCCUGGUAGUCCACGCUGUAAACGAUGAUUACUAGGUGUGGGGGGACUGACCCCUUCCGUGCCGCAGUUAACACAAUAAGUAAUCCACCUGGGGAGUACGACCGCAAGGUUGA